CACGUAGGGCGCAAGCGUUGUCCGGAAUUAUUGGGCGUAAAGAGCUCGUAGGUGGUUUGUUACGUCUGCUGUGAAAACCUAGGGCUUAACCCUGGGCUUGCAGUGGAUACGGGCAGACUAGAGGUAGGCAGGGGAGACUGGAAUUCCUGGUGUAGCGGUGAAAUGCGCAGAUAUCAGGAGGAACACCGGUGGCGAAGGCGGGUCUCUGGGCCGUAACUGACGCUGAGGAGCGAAAGCGUGGGGAGCGAACAGG
rnacentral:rRNA from 1 species